rnacentral:rRNA from 1 species
GAGGGAAAGUUGUAGUAGCUGGUUCCUUCCGAUACAAGUACCGUGAGGGAAAGUUGCAAAGCACUUUGAAGAGAGAGUUAAAGAGGACGUGAAACCGAUGAGGUGGAAACGGACAGAGCUGGCGUAUCUGGUCUGCAUUCACCCGUCUGUUGUUGGGCGUUGGGCUUCCUGCCUCCAGACUGGGGUUGGUUGUCUUUCUGUUCAGCGGCUGAUGGGGCAUUUGCAGGCGGAGUGCGCUGAGAUGCUCGGGGUAGCUGCGUGAACUUGGCUUUGAGGCCAGCCCUUCGGGGUCUGGUACCCGGGCCAGGGGAAUGCUGUUUACUCUGGGUGAGAGUGUGCAAUGGUUUCGGGUCCGUGUUGGCUCGAGCUGAGUGUCGGUGGCGGUCGCAUGCGACACGUACCAGCAAUCAGUUCGGUCCAGCUCGGGCUCUCAUUUGUGCGUUCUCGGUGUAAAAGCCGGUUAUCUGUCCGACCCGUCUUGAAACACGGACCAAGGAGUUUAGCGUAUGCGCGAGUCAUUGGGUGUUGAAAACCCAAAGGCGUAAUGAAAGUGAAGGCAUCCUUGCGGAGCUGAUGUGUGAUCCCUGGCACUGCGGUGUUGGGGCGCAACAUAGUCCCGUCUCGAUCGCAUGCGAUGGGGCGGAGACAGAGCGUAUGCGCUGAGACCCGAAAGAUGGUGAACUAUUCCUGAGCAGGAUGAAGCCAGAUGAAACUCUGGUGGAAGUCCGAAGCGAUUCUGACGUGCAAAUCGAUCGUCUGACUUGGGUAUAGGGGCGAAAGACUAAUCGAACCAUCUAGUAGCUGGUUCCUUCCGAUACAAGUACCGUGAGGGAAAUCGUCGACCUGCAGCAUGCAUGCGAUGCCC